UACGAGAGGCCCAAACGUUAUUCGGAUUCACUGGGCGUAAAGGGUGCGCAGGCGGCCAAGUGUGUGAGGCGUGAAAGCCCGGGGCUUAACUCCGGAAUUGCACCUCAAACUACUUGGCUAGAGCAUUGGAGAGGGUAGCAGAAUUCACGGUGUAGCAGUGAAAUGCGUAGAUAUCGUGAGGAACACCGGAGGCGAAGGCGGCUACCUGGACAGUGACUGACGCUGAGGCGCGAAAGCUAGGGGAGCGAACGGG
rnacentral:rRNA from 1 species